rnacentral:rRNA from 1 species
AGAGUUUGAUCAUGGCUCAGGAUGAACGCUAGCUACAGGCUUAACACAUGCAAGUCGAGGGGAAACGAUAUUGGAAGCUUGCUUCCGAUAGGCGUCGACCGGCGCACGGGUGAGUAACGCGUAUCCAACCUGCCCACCACUUGGGGAUAACCUUGCGAAAGUAAGACUAAUACCCAAUGACGUCUCUAGAAGACAUCUGAAGGAGAUUAAAGAUUUAUCGGUGAUGGAUGGGGAUGCGUCUGAUUAGCUUGUUGGCGGGGUAACGGCCCACCAAGGCAACGAUCAGUAGGGGUUCUGAGAGGAAGGUCCCCCACAUUGGAACUGAGACACGGUCCAAACUCCUACGGGAGGCAGCAGUGAGGAAUAUUGGUCAAUGGGCGAGAGCCUGAACCAGCCAAGUAGCGUGCAGGAAGACGGCCCUAUGGGUUGUAAACUGCUUUUAUAAGGGAAUAAAGUUAGUCUCGUGAGACUUUUUGCAUGUACCUUAUGAAUAAGGACCGGCUAACUCCGUGCCAGCAGCCGCGGUAAUACGGGGGAUGCGAGCGUUAUCCGGAUUCAUUGGGUUUAAAGGGUGCGUAGGCUGUGCGUCAAGUCGGGGGUGAAAUUCCGGUGCUCAACACCGGGGCUGCCCUUGAUACUGUCGCGCUGGAGUGCGGAUGCCGCCGGAGGAAUGAGUGGUGUAGCGGUGAAAUGCUUAGAUAUCACUCAGAACACCGAUUGCGAAGGCAUCUGGCGAAUCCGUAACUGACGCUGAGGCACGAAAGCGUGGGGAUAGAACAGGAUUAGAUACCCUGGUAUUCCACGCCGUAAACGAUGAUGGCUAACCGCCGGCGACACACUGUCGGUGGCCAAGCGAAAGCGAUAAGCCAUCCACCUGGGGAGUACGUCGGCAACGAUGAAACUCAAAGGAAUUGACGGGGGCCCGCACAAGCGGAGGAACAUGUGGUUUAAUUCGAUGAUACGCGAGGAACCUUACCCGGGCUCGAACGGCACCUGGAUCACCCAGAGAUGGGCGAGUCUUCGGACAGGUGUCGAGGUGCUGCAUGGUUGUCGUCAGCUCGUGCCGUGAGGUGUCGGCUCAAGUGCCAUAACGAGCGCAACCCUUGCCGCCAGUUGCCAUCAGGUGAUGCUGGGCACUCUGGCGGGACUGCCACCGCAAGGUGUGAGGAGGGGGGGGAUGACGUCAAAUCAGCACGGCCCUUACGUCCGGGGCGACACACGUGUUACAAUGGCGGCCACAGAGGGAAGCUACCCCGCGAGGGGAUGCGGAUCUCGAAAAGCCGUCCCAGUUCGGACUGGAGUCUGCAACCCGACUCCACGAAGUUGGAUUCGCUAGUAAUCGCGCAUCAGCCAUGGCGCGGUGAAUACGUUCCCGGGCCUUGUACACACCGCCCGUCAAGCCAUGGAAGCCGCGGGCGCCUGAAGUCCGUGACCGGAAGGAGCGGCCUAGGGCGAAAGUGGUAACUGGGGCUAAGUCGUAACAAGGUA